GUAUGUAUGAAUUCCUUUGAAGUAUCCAUUUAUACCACGACUAAAUUAUGACUUCGAAAUAAUGUAUAGCUACAAAAAGUCGUUCAAUAGUCAAAUCAGUUUUGAAUUCAUCGGUAAAAUUCAUUAGUAGCCUAUGAAAUAUUUUUAGUAUGGCACAAACAAAAUAUCCGGUACGUUUGUUGGGAGCCUAAGGUGAGAAUACAACGUUUAUUUAUAUGAGAGUCUGAUGACUUAUUUGUUUGAAUUCAUAUGGAAACCGUCAGUUUGUACUAGAACAAUGUCAGUCGUAAUGAAGCGUGACCUUAAUAAAAUCAUAAAUUGCCUUUUUGAUAGAAUAAACAACAUUAAACUCUUAAAUUAUCAAAA